CACGUAGGGCGCAAGCGUUGUCCGGAAUUACUGGGCGUAAAGGGCUCGUAGGCGGCCAACUAAGUCGGAUGUGAAAUCCCCAGGCUCAACCUGGGAACUGCAUCCGAUACUGGAUGGCUUGAAUUCGGGAGAGGGAUGCAGAAUUCCAGGUGUAGCGGUGAAAUGCGUAGAUAUCUGGAGGAAUACCGGUGGCGAAGGCGGCAUCCUGGACCGACAUUGACGCUGAGGAGCGAAAGCCAGGGGAGCAAACGGG
rnacentral:rRNA from 1 species